rnacentral:misc_RNA from 1 species
AACGCACCUUGCGCCGCUCGGUUUUCCGAGGGGCACGUCUGUUUGAGUGUCACGUUAAUCUCUCACUUGCCUUUGCGUAAAGUGGAUUUGGACUGUGCUGUUUUUAUAAUGGCUCGUCUCUAAAUGCAUUGCUGCCUGCAGAGUCUUGCACGGAGCAAGACCUAGCACAACGGUGUGAUAUUAAUUAUCUACGCUGGCGUUCUGGUCUUUUUGCACUGUUGCACAUGAUGUAGUACUCUGGGCUUACAAUAAAAAUGGAGAGAUUUUUUCUCGCCUUUAAUCUUUACGUUUGACCUCAAAUCAGAUGGGACUACCCGCUGAACUUAA